rnacentral:lncRNA from 1 species
CCCAGCAAAUUUCCUGCUUUGCUCCAAAUCUGCUAACAUUAGUCCCUGCCCUUAUUGCCACAGAGAGCUGGGAAAUCAACCACUCAGCCUUGAGCUAGAAAAAGACCAUUCUGGCUCCUGUUGCAGACUCUGCUCCCUGUUUCCAUUCCAGUACAGCACGUAAGGGUUACUUGCACUUGUUAAUCCUUCACAUCUGACUAAUAUCUGAAUGGGAAGGUUGCUAGCAACAUCCUUUCCAAAAUCACUUUGACCUGUGUAUUAUAUUAUGACGUGAAUGACUUGCAGAAGGAAGUAAUCAGAAUGUGUAUAGUUCUCGUUAGUGCUAAUUGCCUUUUCAUCUGUUUCUAGCUCUUUUUAUUGUGUCCAAUAAAUGUUGAUUAUGCAGGGAUUUAAAUCUGUAUUUCAACAUAGUUUCAUUCACGUGAUGUGACUGACACGACUCACUAAAUCUUAGUUCCAAAUAUUCCUCUAGCUCUGUGUCAAGCACUUCAAGGAUGUCAAAAGCAGAUAGGGAAAAUCUGAAGUGCCUGAUCUUAGCAAGAAUGCCUAAAAGGUCAGGUAGAGGACAUUGUUUCAGGAGGCCUCUGGUUUUGAUACUUUCUGGUUCAUAGAAACACGAAAACACAGCAUGUGUGCAUUGUAUGUGAAUGUUCUCCUUCUAGGGUAAUGUACAUAAGUACACAUACAGGAUAAAUCUUUCAAAUGCAUAAUUUUUUAUUGCUUCUGAUCUUAAGUGAGCAGUAUGGCAUGUCAUAAAGGAGUCCAGUUUCUGGAAAUAAGGAUCCCUUAAGGUUGCCUCAAGAGAGUCCAGAAUCACUGCAUCUGGAAGUUCUUGAUCACAGCAUCUUGAGAGGACCCACUGCAUCCCAGCUGAAAACGCCUCAGUGGGUGGAAGGUCUGUCUGUGAGGACAUGCAUUGUCAGUCUGUGCCUGUAUCCUCUGGGCUGGAGCCAGGAGCAGGGAUUAGAUGAACUCCUGAGCAGACCUGUCUAGCAUGGUGGAGCCUCGUGGACUCUUCUGCACAUGGAUAAAAGGUAAGGCAAUUUUUAAUAAUUUAAGAGUUUUUUAACUACAAAAGCGUAUUCUUAGGGCUAGGAAACACUUCCUUUUUGGUCUGCAGGGUCUGACACAGUAAAUUUUGUGCAGACACACUGUUACUAAUAGUGAUGGAUGCACAUAAAGCACUGUAC